rnacentral:rRNA from 1 species
UACGUAGGUGACAAGCGUUGUCCGGAUUUACUGGGCGUAAAGAGCGCGCAGGCGGUCGAUCAAGUCGAGUGUGAAAGCCCCCGGCUCAACUGGGGAGGGUCAUUCGAUACUGAUCGACUCGAAGGCAGGAGAGGGUAGUGGAAUUCCCGGUGUAGUGGUGAAAUGCGUAGAGAUCGGCAGGAACACCCAGGGGGAAACCAGUCGACUGGGCAUCUACUGACGCUGAGGUGCGAGAGCGUGGGGAGCGAACCGG